rnacentral:rRNA from 1 species
AGCACGGGAGCAAUCCUGGUGGCGAGUGGCGAACGGGUGAGUAAUGUAUCGGAACGUACCUUUCAGUGGGGGAUAACGUAGUGAAAGUUACGCUAAUACCGCAUAUUCUGUGAGCAGGAAAGCAGGGGAUCGCAAGACCUUGCGCUGAUUGAGCGGCCGAUAUCAGAUUAGCUAGUUGGUGAGGUAAAGGCUCACCAAGGCGACGAUCUGUAGCGGGUCUGAGAGGAUGAUCCGCCACACUGGAACUGAGACACGAUCCAGACUCCUACGGGAGGCAGCAGUGGGGAAUUUUGGACAAUGGGCGCAAGCCUGAUCCAGCCAUGCCGCGUGAGUGAAGAAGGCCUUCGGGUUGUAAAGCUCUUUCAGCCGGGAAGAAAACGCAUGGGUUAAUACCCUGUGUGGAUGACGGUACCGGAAUAAGAAGCACCGGCUAACUACGUGCCAGCAGCCGCGGUAAUACGUAGGGUGCGAGCGUUAAUCGGAAUUACUGGGCGUAAAGCGUGCGCAGGCGGUUUGUUAAGAUAGGCGUGAAAUCCCCGGGCUCAACCUGGGAACUGCGUUUAUGACUGGCAGGCUAGAGUAUGGCAGAGGGGGGUGGAAUUCCACGUGUAGCAGUGAAAUGCGUAGAGAUGUGGAGGAACACCGAUGGCGAAGGCAGCCCCCUGGGCCAAUACUGACGCUCAUGCACGAAAGCGUGGGUAGCAAACAGGAUUAGAUACCCUGGUAGUCCACGCCCUAAACGAUGUCAACUAGGUGUUGGGUGGGUAAAACCAUUUAGUACCGG